rnacentral:rRNA from 1 species
GACAGAGGGUGCAAACGUUGUUCGGAAUUACUGGGCGUAAAGCGCGUGUAGGCGGCCCUGCAAGUCGGAUGUGAAAUCCCACGGCUCAACCGUGGAAGUGCAUUCGAAACUGCAGGGCUAGAGUCCUGGAGAGGAAGGUGGAAUGCUUGGUGUAGAGGUGAAAUUCGUAGAUAUCGGGAGGAACACCCGUGGCUAAGGCGGCUCUCUAGUACGGUACUGACGCUGAGACGCGAAAGCGUGGGGAGCAAACAGGG